UACGAAGGGGGCUAGCGUUGCUCGGAAUCACUGGGCGUAAAGGGUGCGUAGGCGGGUCUUUAAGUCAGGGGUGAAGUCCUGGAGCUCAACUCCAGAACUGCCUUUGAUACUGAAGAUCUUGAGUUCGGGAGAGGUGAGUGGAACUGCGAGUGUAGAGGUGAAAUUCGUAGAUAUUCGCAAGAACACCAGUGGCGAAGGCGGCUCGCUGGCACGAUACUGACGCUGAGGCACGAAAGCGUGGGGAGCAAACAGG
rnacentral:rRNA from 1 species